GCCGAGUACAAGCUCCUUUGUGAGUGUUGGAGGGACAUUGGGCAAGACCCCAAGGUCGGUGCCAAACUAAAGGCAUCAACCUUUUGGACUCGUGUGCUUCACGAGUUCCAUGAACGCGAGAAGUUUCUGUCAUACCAAAUGCAAAGCACGCGCGGGUGGGUGUCCAUUUCAAAGCAGUGGAAGGUGAUCCAACAAGAGUGCAACAAGUUUUGUGCCACUUUUGAGAGCAUCAAGUCACGUCCCGUGAGCGGCAUCGACAUGCAAGACAUGGUAUGCAUGCAAGCGCCCUCUUUUUGUGUCAUUCGUUUGUGCUUGCAUGUCCAUUUCCAUAUCUGUUUGCCAAUAUGCUUGCAUGCAAUUCAUUUGUAG
rnacentral:rRNA from 1 species